AGCAGCCGCGGUAAUUCCAGCUCCAAUAGCGUAUAUUAAAGUUGUUGCAGUUAAAAAGCUCGUAGUUGAACCUCGGGGUCUACCCAUUGGUCAGGCUUAAUUUGUCUGCACUGGUGAGAUGGAUCUCUACCUUCUGAGGAACUUUCGUGCCAUUUAUUUGGUGUGAUGGGAAAGUCAGGACUGUUACUUUGAAAAAAUUAGAGUGUUUAAAGCAGACUGUCGUCUGAAUACAUUAGCAUGGAAUAAUGAAAUAGGACGGACUGAUUCUAUUUCGUUGGUUUCUAGGAUCACCGUAAUGAUUAAUAGGGAUAGUUGGGGGCAUUAGUAUUCAAUUGUCAGAGGUGAAAUUCUUGGAUUUAUUGAAGACUAACUACUGCGAAAGCAUUUUGCCAAGGAUGUUUUCAUUAAUCAAGAACGAAAGUUAGGGGAUCGAAGACGAUCAGAUACCGUCGUAGUCUUAACCAUAAACUAUGCCGACUAGGGAUC
rnacentral:misc_RNA from 2 species